AUGAAACCGAUGAGAAAGAGUAGUAAGCUUUUGUACGACAUUAAAGAGAGCCGUAAAUGCUGGGAAUGCGGUAUGUAGUCUUUUGCUGAAUGGACUUUUGAGGGCAGCCUGAAAUUGUAAUAAAAGUAUGCGCUGUCGGGAACCAAACCCGUUAUCAAUCAGGCUUGUAUAAUUCAGGCAGUUGACCUGACUGUACAUGACAGAGAGGACUUUACGUCAAUUUGAGUGGUACCGCGAUAAUAAGUAUAUUAUUACCGUCUCAAGC
rnacentral:ncRNA from 1 species